AAAAUUAAACAUUUAAGAGAUCAAUAAAUGGUGUGAAAAGGGAUUUAUUAUCUGAUUUGGAUGAAGCUUCAUCGGUAAGGUCGAGAUCAAGCCGGACUUCUACUCCAGUGAGGAGUGUGAGUAGAGCUUCUACGCCAUCGAAACGAACCUGCAACGGGCUCAACAAGUCUGGUCUUUCUUGCAAACGAACCUGCGUUACGGGGAAAGAUUUCUGCUAUCAGCAUUUGAAAGAUGUGAAGCUGUCAUCUUAAGAAAUUCAAAGUUAUUGUAAAUAUAUUGUAAAAGUUAUUGUUUUGUAAAUUUUAUUUUCGUUUUUUUAAAGUUUAGAAUUUUAGUUGUAAAGAAAAAUGAUUGUUUUAUACAGUUCUAUUGAUUACAAAGACAACCUGUUUUGCCCGUGUUAAGAGUAAAAAUAAAAUGUGUAAACGUCGCAAUUAGAGCUUCUGCUCUUUUCAGUCCCGAGAAUUUCAGUCAAAUAAAUAUCAUAGAUGAUGA